rnacentral:tRNA from 1 species
CAAAGUAAAGCUAAGGUAUAGAAUAGCGUCUCACUUACGUUGAGAAGUUUGUUGUGCGAAUCAAUAUACUUUGA